rnacentral:lncRNA from 1 species
CUGACUGAAAGGUCUUUUAGGAAGCCACAGAGAUAUCUGGCUGCCUGGAGGGGGGCAGGAAGGUCUUGGUGCCCGGUUUGAUAGAGUUUUGCAGAAGAAUGUGUGAGUCUGUGUGUUGUUCAUGCAGACAGUUUCAGCAUUCAGCUCCGUAUUUCAUGCAAAUCUGUUCCUACAAGCAAGCUUACCAAUGCACUGCAGAUCUGUCCUGUCAUGCACAGAGUCCCAUGAGUGCCACUUUAAUGAUCCAGGUGUAUACACAUCAUCCUCCAAGCAAGUCAGUUUAUUUAAUUUCCUUCUCCUCUGAAGAGCAGUUUCACCUCAAUGGUCCAGUUUCUGAAACAAGACGUCUUGCCCAAUAG